GGCGGAGGAUGCAAGUGUUAUCCGGAAUCACUGGGCGUAAAGCGUCUGUAGGUGGUUUAAAAAAGUCCACUGUUAAAAAUUGAAGCUUAACUUCAAAGAUGCCGUGGAAACUUUUAAACUUGAGUAUGGUAGGGGUAGAGGGAAUUUCCAGUGGAGCGGUGAAAUGCGUAGAUAUUGGAAAGACCACCAAUGGCGAAGGCACUCUACUGGGCCAUUACUGACACUGAGAGACGAAAGCUAGGGGAGCAAAUGGG
rnacentral:rRNA from 1 species